rnacentral:rRNA from 1 species
AGCGAACGCUGGCGGCAGGCCUAACACAUGCAAGUCGAACGAACUCUUCGGAGUUAGUCGCGGAUGGGGGUGGAACCCGACGGAAGGUGCCCAUAGGGUUGGCAUAACUCAGGGAAACUGGUGCCAACACCGAAUGGGCCCUACGGGGGAAAGAUUUAUCGCCCUUAGUGCGGCCCGCGUCAGAUACGCUAGUUGGGUAGGUAAAGGCUCACCAAGGCGACGAUCAGUAGCUGGUCUGAGAGGAUGGUCAGCCACAUUGGGACUGAGACGCGGCCCAAACUCCUACGCGAGGCAGGAGUGCGGGAUCUUGCAAAAUGGGCGAAAGGCUGACGCAGCCAUGACGGGAGAAUGCUGUAGGUCUUAAGAUUGUAAAAUUCUUUCAACGGGGACGAUAAUGACGGUACCCGGAGAAAAAGCCCCGGCUAACUUCGUG